rnacentral:rRNA from 1 species
UACGGAGGGUGCAAGCGUUAUCCGGAUUCACUGGGUUUAAAGGGUGCGUAGGUGGGCAGGUAAGUCAGCGGUGAAAUCCCCGAGCUUAACUUGGGAACUGCCAUUGAUACUAUCUGUCUUGAAUACCUUGGAGGUGAGCGGAGUAUGUCAUGUAGCGGUGAAAUGCUUAGAUAUGACAUAGAACACCAAUUGCGAAGGCAGCUCACUACACGGUCAUUGACACUGAGGCACGAAAGCGUGGGGAUCAAACAGG